GUUUGGGUAAACAGGUUGUAGGGUGGUGCCAUUUACCAUCCUCUGUCAGAGGGAGAAUCGAGUUUGGGACCAAAUGGGAAAAUCUGCACGGAAUCAUGAUCCCAGCCCAGAGAGCUCCCAGGCCAAGGUGCAAUUGCAACCCACCCGGUCCUUUAACCCGAUGAGCCAGGAGGGGAUUGAACCUGUGUCCCAGCACUCCAGAGAUGCCGCUGAUCCUGUUGCACCAUAGAGGAAACUCCAAAAGCUUUUCUUGGCCCAAGCGGCAGGCUCUCAGAAGCUUGACAAACCAGCAUCGCCAUCUGGAGGACAGCAUGAGAAUCUGGAUGAGGAAGCUGAGGUCGGGUGACUUGCCCCAGGCACCAAAGCAGGUGAAUAUUAUCCAUUGAAAAUGAUGCGCUCUUCCAUGGAAGGCAAGCCGACAGUGUGUGUGAGGGGCUUUUGAAUCUCUGCUCUGUCACUGACCAUGGAGAACUCGGUUGCUUCAUGUGGCUUUCUUUCCUGUAAGAUGAGGAUAACGGUGCCAUCUGACUCGUAGGAUCAUCAUGAAGAUUAAUGAGGUAACCUCCGAUCUCAUCUUUCUCUGCUGUCAUUUGGUAUAGAUUACCCUUGAAGAGGACAAGUCUUUCUUACUUACCCGAAGUUCCAGGCCCCUGAUGUUUAAGCGGAGUGUAUUGGCCCCUUCUCACAUACAGGGCUCUGGGAAGGUUGAGGGGUGAGUUUGCAGAGUGAGCCCAGGGACCUUCUGGGAGGGAAAAGGCUGGUCCCUUUCCCUAUUCCCUGAGAGUAGGGUUUAGGGAGAUACAUGGACUUGUGAGCAAUUCAGAAAAGGAUUCAGAAGUAGGAAAAGCCAACAGGUCCAAUGUGUUACUGAGUCCAAGCUUGUGCUGCUCGCUGCAGAACAAGGCAUUAAAUCCGCAGACACGUUGCUGGGGCAAGGAAUAGUGACUUUAUUCAGAAAGCCAGCAGACCGAGAUGGUGGACUAGUGUCCCAAAGAACCAUCUUGCCCUGGUUUGGAUGUUAGUUUCUUGUAUGGGACAGCAGGGGACAUCAGGAGGUAAAGCAAAAAAGGCAAUAAGUUGUAACUAUUUUCUGUUCAAGCCAGACUCCGGAGGGGAUGUGUUCAUUUCUUCCCGCCUGCAGUCAUUCAUAGGUGGGCCUGAUCGGGAGGUUUCCUGAGAGCCAACAAAGCAAAAGCAAUAGAAUACAAAACUUAAAGAAACAGAUCCAGUAUGGAGUCAGACUGUUCUUCCCUAUUACAAACUGAAUCCAGGGACUUACAGCCAGGCUUGGCAAUAAACCCAGAAAGCUUCCAUUGCCUACUAUCGCUAUAACCACAGCAACCUGGCUGGCGGGGAAAUAUGGAAACUCCAACUCAUUCUUCUAGAUUCAGGUAAGUCUCCACCUUUUCUGUGAAGCCUUUGUCCAUCCUCACUUCAGCUUUGGAGAGGACAACCUCACAGAUAUGCCGAUAUGUACACCCUGUGCACACCUGUGUUACCACACUCACUGCGUUGCUUCAGAACUCUGUGUACCCGUGUGUCUCUGUCCCAACCCCAUGAUCCCUUGAGCAUAUGUGCACCCCCGUGCUUGGGUUAGAGCCUGGCAACACAGGAGCUGCUCAGGCACUUCCACUCCUGAAUGUCAGAAACUUAAGGGAGGAGGGGAGCAGACUGCCCUGGAGCGGCGUGAGAGUGGGUGGGAGACAGGUUGUCCCAGGAGUGGAGUGGAGCCUAAGUAGCCUCAGAGGACAGAAAUCAUGUCCUCACCCAGGAAAGCUGUGCCUGGCAUGCAGGCUGUUCCAGGCAGGAAAGGGAGGUAAAAGGUGGCAGAAAGCAACGGGGCAACAGAGUGGAGGUGAAUGGAUGGAACAGGGAGGGAGAUGUUGACUUUCAGAUCAGUGCGCAGCCCUUGAAACUGGACUAGAGUUUCAAGGCUGAGAUAGUGAGAAGGAGCUCAAGUCCUAUGUUUAAAUGGUAAUGACUCUAGAGGAGAUGCCUGAAGGACUGCAGUUUAGACAGAGAAAAACUCCUGUGCAGAAUUCCUCCUUUGGGAGUUCCCAUUGUGGCGCAGAGGAAAUGAAUCCAACUAGGAACCAUGAGGUUGGGGGUUUGAUCCCUGGCCUUGCUCAGUGGGUUAAGA